UACGUAGGGUGCGAGCGUUGUCCGGAAUUAUUGGGCGUAAAGAGCUCGUAGGCGGCUUGUCGCGUCGGAUGUGAAAGCCCGGGGCUUAACUCCGGGUCUGCAUUCGAUACGGGCAGGCUAGAGUUCGGUAGGGGAGAUCGGAAUUCCUGGUGUAGCGGUGAAAUGCGCAGAUAUCAGGAGGAACACCGGUGGCGAAGGCGGAUCUCUGGGCCGAUACUGACGCUGAGGAGCGAAGGCGUGGGGAGCGAGCAGG
rnacentral:rRNA from 1 species